GCACAUCAAUGAAAUUCAAAAUUAGGUUAUGGGUUGUCAAGACUAUUAAAGCAAGCAGAGCUCUUGAGAUUGAGGAUCCUUAGAGUUGGUGACAAGAAGAUUGUUGGUGUCAUGAAGGAAGGAAGAACGCCAACGUUAAAAAUCAACGCCUACUGAGGGGUGUUUGGGCUUUACCGAGUCAAGCUAAUGACGUUAAAAGAGCGCUUGUUGGGAGGCAACCCAAUUUCUGAAUUUUUUUUUUCAAUUUCGUUUCGAUUUGAUUUGAUUUUAUUUGAUUUGAUUUUAUUUUUAUUUUUAUUUUAUUUUCUUUUAUUUGAUUUUUUUAUUUUAUUUGAUUUUAUUUGAUUUGGUUUUAUUUUAUUUUAUUUUAUUUUCUUUAUUUUUUAUUUAUUUUUUGGGUUAUGCAUUGCUUCUGAUGGCAGUGAUGAUAACAUCUA
rnacentral:lncRNA from 1 species